AGUCUUGCUGUUUACUCUCUUACUUUAUGUUGUGUAUCACAAUUAAAAGUCAACACCUGGAUUCUAGAUUCAGGUUCAACCAACCACAUGACACCUAAUAAACACCUAUUACACAACAUCUAGUUUUUGCCUUUUUCUUAUCUUGUUACACUUCCAAAUGGUUAUAAGGUCAAAGUUCAUUGCACUAGUUCUUUACAACUAUGUGAUGAUUUGAUUUUAUCAAAAGUCCUCUUAGUCCCUUCCUUUAAAUUAAAUUUAAUCUUUGUGCCUCAACUGGUUGAUCAACUUAGUUGCACAGCUUUCUUCACCAAAAUUUUCUGUCAUUUACAGGUCCCUUCUUUGAGGAGGCCAUUAGAAAUUGGUAGAGCAGCAAAUGGACUUUAUGUCAUUGAUUUUGUUGUUACUCUACCAACCUACAUCAUCUUUACAAAGUACCACAAAUAAAAGAUCAGUUAGUUUACCACUGUCUACUCCUUCUGUAAAUAACAUUUCGAAUAAGACAUCAGUUUCUUUGUGUGAUUAUAGUGCUUGCAUUUUUACUUGAAAUCCUGAUUGCUCUAUUAAUAAAACUAAUCUUUUCUGGCAUGAAAGACUAGGACAUAUGCCCUUUCAUAGAAUGCAAUCUAUUGAAUUCUUAUCUGGUAAGCUGUCUUCUAAACAAUCCUUUAUUUGUCUUGUGUGCCCUUCAGCCAGACAACAGAGACUGCCUUUUCUGGAUAGUUCUAUCAAAUCCACUAAACAUUUUUAAUUAGUACACAUUGACUUAUGUGGUCCUUAUCAUACUAGAACAUAUAAUGGUUUUAGAUAUUUUUUAACCAUUUUAGAUGACUUUUCAAGGAUAACUUGGACACACUUGCUUUCUUGUUAAAGUAAUGAUUUUGAUCUCAUUAAGGCUUUUGUUCUGAUGAUCAAAAUUUAUUUUAAUCUUCCUGUACAAACUAUUAGACCAGACAAUGCCUUUGAGCUUGGUUCUAGCACUAAGGCUUCAUCUUUCUUUGCUGAAUAUGGUAUUUUACACCAAACUACUAGAUCCCAUACUUCUCAACAAAAUUGUGUAGUUGAGAGGAAGUAUAAACAUCUUCUGGAAACUUCUAGAGCAUUACUUAUGGGGUCCUUAUCAUACUAGAAUAUAUAAUAGUUUUAGAUAUUUUUUAACCAUUGUAGAUGACUUUUCAAGGGUGACUUGGACCACAUUGCUUUCUUGUAAAAGUAAUGCUUUUGAUCUCAUUAAUGCUUUUGUUCUGAUGGUCAAAAUUUAUUUUAACCUUCCUGUACAAACUAUUAGAUAAGUCAAUGCCUUUGAGCUUGGUUCUAGAACUAAGGCUUCAUCUUUCUUUGCUGAAUAUGGUAUUCUUUAUCAAACUACCAUUUCCCAUACUCCUCAACAAAAUGGUAUAGUUGAGAGGAAGCAUAAACAUCUUCUGAAAACUUCUAGAGCAUUACUAUUUCAAUCCAAGCUUCCAAUUAAGUAUUGGGGUGACUGUGUACUCACAAUUACCUAUCCCAUUAAUAGGUUUCCUUCCACUACCCUCCAACAUCUCUCUCCUUACCAAAAACUACAUGGGCUCCCUCCUACUUAUGCUCAUUUAAGAACCUUUGGUUGUUUAUAUUUUGCAACUAUACCAAACGUGAAGAGAGAUAAGUUUUAGCCAAGAGCAUGUCCUGCUCUUUUCCUGGGGUACCCUUUAGGAAAGAAAGGCUACAAGAUAGUAAGUCUAGCUAAUCAUUCCAUUUCUACUCUAGGGAUGUGGUUUUUCAUGAACACAUUUUUCCUUAUCUUCUUCUGGCUUCCCAAUCACUUCUGAUCCUUUUGUGGAUUCUCAAACUUUUCCUUGUUCACCUGCUUCCUCAGUACUACCCCAUUCUCCUUCUGUUCCUCCUCCUCCACCUAUUCAUUCCUCUCACUCCCCCAGUCAGUCCUCUUCUCACUCCUUCAGUCAGUCCCCUUCUCAUCCUUCUUUUCCUUCACCCAUUCCUACUUCACAUCAUCUUCCUCUUAGGAAGUCCACUAGGGUCUCCCAUGCUCCAACCUAUCUCAAGAAUUAUGUUUGUUACUUUGUUCAACACCCUGCCUCUCUACCCUCUGAACCUCAAUAUUAUCAGCAAGCUACUCCACAUCCUGCCUGGCAGGAAGCUAUGGAAAAGGAAUUCCAAGCCUUAGAUACCAACUCCACAUGGGACAUUGUGCUCCACCUGGAAAGAAGGUCAUCCCCUGUUAAUGGGUGUACAAAAUCAAACAAAAAACUGAUGGUUCCAUUAAAAGGUAUAAGUCCAGAUUAAUGAUCAUGGGUGAUUCUCAAAAGGAAGGCAUUGAUUACUUUAAAAUAUUCAGACUUGUUGUUAAGAUCACAACCAUCAAAUGUCUCCUUACCCUUGCUGUCAAACACAAGUGGAAUGUACACCAAAUGGAUAUCAAUAAUGCCUUCCUUCAUGAAGAUCCCUUUGGGUUUAUGUGUUGAAUCUACCUCUUCUGAUCUUCCUUUAGUUUGCAAAUUAAAGAAGCCACUCUAUGGGCUAAAAUAAGCUUCUAGGCAAUGGUUUGCAAAGUUUUCAGAGUCUCUUGUUUCAAGGGGCUAUUAUCCCAGUAAGAAUGACUCCUCUCUUUUUACCAAGGUGACUCCUACUUCUAUUGUUCUGCUUGUUGUAUAUGUGGAUGAUCUUCUUUUGGCUGGCAAUGAUGAUGAUUGAAUGGUAAGCCUGAAAUCCUUCCUUGAUCAUCAAUUCAAGAUCAAAGACCUUGGGACUGUCUAUUAUUUUUUGGGUCUUGAGAUCUCUAAGGUGGAUCAGGGGUUUCUCAUCAACCAACAAAAGUACACAAAAGCGCUCUUUUCUGAAUUCCACUGUUCAGAGGUUAUACCAGCACUCACACCCCUUGAUCCUCAUGUCAAAUUAUCUGUUGAUUCAGGGAAAGCUCUUUCUGAUCCUUCUGUCUAUAGAAGAUUAAUUGGCAAGCUGAAUUUUCUCCAACAUACCAGGCCUGACAUCUUUUAUUUAGUGCAACAUCUCAGCCAAUUUCUUGUGUCUCCUAGAGUGCCCCACAUGCUGGCUAGUUUGCAUGUUCUCAAAUACAUCCUCAAUAAUCCUGCCCAAGGCAUCCUGCUGAGUGUUGUUCCUGAUUUCUCCUUGAAAGCUUAUGCUGAUUCUGACGGGGAUACUUGCCCCAUUUCCAGAAGGUCUGUGACUGGCUAUUAUGUGGUUCUUGGUAAUUCCCCUAUUUCUUGGAAAUCUAAGAAGCAACCUACAUUCUCUCUUUCUUCUGCUGAGGCAGAGUAUAGAGCCUUGAGGAAGGUUGUUGCUGAGGUGGUUUGGCUUACCAGACUGUUAGCUGACUUGGGCAUGUCUAUUACUGAUCCUGUCCCCAUAUUUACGAUAGUCAGACUGCCCUCCACAUUGCCAGAAAUCUUAUUUUUCAUAAAAGAACCAAACACAUUGAGGUGAAUUAUCACUAUGUGAGGGAUGUGCUUUCUUCUAGGCUUAUUGCUCUUGAUCAUGUCUCUUCUGCCGACUAACUUAUUGAUGUUCUGACCAAGGCUUUAACAGGUGUUCCUCACCAUAAGCUCUUAUGCAAGCUGGGUGUGCACUCACCCUCCAGCUUGAGGGGGUGGGGGUGAUAGACUUAAGAAGGCAUUGGACUCAGACCCAAGAUAGGUUUUCUUUUCUACCUUAUUGGGCCUUUGUAUAAUUGGGCCAUUUUUCCUUUCUCUUAUAUUGGGAACUGGCCCAUGUCCGGAUUUAUUGAUUAUUGGACUACACUGUACAUAUUAAUAGACUGAUUGAGGUCUAUUGAGGGUAAUGGAUCAUUUUCUCCUCUUUCUAUUUACCAGAUGGUCUCGAAGCUUCUCUCUAACACAGAAUAAAACCUAGGGUUUUCUCCGAUCCAUUCACACAAAUUCAAUCACUUCUCACAAGUUAACAUGAAAAGAGCAGUUUGGAGGAGAGGCCUAGCUAAAAAGAGAAACAGAGAGACACAAGGACAUGAGUUCAAUCUAAGAUGGUUUGAUAUGACUGAUGAAACUGCACCAACACCAUGGGGUGACUUGAAAAUCUACCAAUAUAAUGGAAAGUACACCGAGCAUCGAACAAUGGCUGUUGUUUUAGACAGCAAUGAUAUAGUAAGAUGAAAAUUGACCGAGGAAUAAGGUUGAUGCUAAAUUUUAGUAUGCACAAUUGGAUGUUCUGGUUGAGGGCGGACCUCUCUGUGUAAAAGAGAAAUAAUUUUUGUUUGUGUAAUAUGUACAUUGUAACGCAUUUUACAGUCUUGUUAUAUGAUUGUCACUUUCUCUUUUUA